UUGAGAUUACAGAUUUGAUGCUGGAUUUUUUAAUUAAAAGUUCAAAUUACAUCGACAUCUAAUGUCAAAGAGAUGAGUGAAGGAUAAUGUACAAACUAUUUAGUAUCAUAGCAUUGCAGACAAUCGUGUCGACGAUCCCCGCGGGAGCCACUGUGUCUGGUCCAGGGAGAAAUGUUCCAAUGGAUUGGCUGCGGAUGACCGAUAUGUACCUUAGAAGAAUGGUCAACCGUCCGCACGUGGAAGCUGGUCCGGGCUUCUUCAAGUCAGAUCCUGUAGAGUAUUCACCGGACCAGCUCUCAAAGGAGUACAAGAAGCUAUUUGCGCUAAAGAAGAAAAUGGAAGAAGAGAAUAAACCUUUAAACCCCUGA